rnacentral:rRNA from 1 species
AGAAUCAACGCUGGCGGCGUGCCUAACACAUGCAAGUCGAACGAGAAAGGGUAGCAAUACCUGAGUAAAGUGGCGCACGGGUGAGUAACACGUGACUAACCUACCCUGGAGUGGGGGAUAACUGAGGGAAACCUUAGCUAAUACCGCAUAAUACCUACGGGUCAAAGGAGCAAUUCGCUUCAGGAGGGGGUCGCGGCCGAUUAGUUAGUUGGCGGGGUAAUGGCCCACCAAGACGAUGAUCGGUAUCCGGCCUGAGAGGGCGCACGGACACACUGGAACUGAAACACGGUCCAGACUCCUACGGGAGGCAGCAGUGGGAAUUUUGCGCAAUGGGGAAACCCUGACGCAGCAACGCCGCGUGGAGGAUGAAGUCCUUCGGGACGUAAACUCCUUUCGAUCGGGACGAUUAUGACGGUACCGGAAGAAGAAGCCCGGCUAACUCGCGUCAGCAGCCGC